rnacentral:rRNA from 1 species
AGAGACAGCAGCAGCCACGGGAAUACGUAGGGGGCAAGCGUUAUCCGGAAUUACUGGGUGUAAAGGGAGCGUAGACGGUUAAACAAGUCUGAAGUGAAAUGCCGGGGCUCAACCCCGGAGCUGCUUUGGGAACUGUAGAACUGGAGUGUCGGAGGGGUAAGCGGAAUUCCCAGUGUAGCGGUGAAAUGCGUAGAUAUUGGGAGGAACACCGGCGGCGAAGGCGGCUUACUGGACGACAACUGACGUUGAGGCUCGAAGGCGUGGGUAGCAAACAGGAUUAGAUACCCCGUGUAGUCCCUGUCUCUUAUA